rnacentral:rRNA from 1 species
UACGAAGGGGGCUAGCGUUGCUCGGAAUCACUGGGCGUAAAGCGCACGUAGGCGGCUUUUUAAGUCAGGGGUGAAAUCCUGGAGCUCAACUCCAGAACUGCCUUUGAUACUGAGAAGCUUGAGUCCGGGAGAGGUGAGUGGAACUGCGAGUGUAGAGGUGAAAUUCGUAGAUAUUCGCAAGAACACCAGUGGCGAAGGCGGCUCACUGGUCCAUUACUGACGCUGAGGUGCGAAAGCGUGGGGAGCAAACAGG